rnacentral:rRNA from 1 species
UACGGAAUGUGCAACCGUUAUUCGGAAUCACUGGGCUUAAAGAGUCCGUAGGCGGCAUGUUAGGUGAGGUGUGAAAUCCCCCGGCUCAACCGAGGAAUUGCGCUUCAUACCGGCGUGCUAGAGGAAGAUAGAGGUGGGCGGAACUGAUGGUGGAGCGGUGAAAUGCGUUGAUAUCAUCAGGAACACCGGAGGCGAAGGCGGCCCACUGGGUCUUUUCUGACGCUGAGGGACGAAAGCUAGGGGAGCGAACGGG